AGAGUUUGAUCCUGGCUCAGAAUCAACGCUGGCGGCGUGCCUAACACAUGCAAGUCGCACGAGAAAGGGUAGCAAUACCUGAGUAAAGUGGCGCACGGGUGAGUAACACGUGAAUGAUCUACCUCCGAGUGGGGAAUAACUGAGAGAAAUCUUAGCUAAUACCGCAUAACACUUACGAGUCAAAGCAGCAAUGCGCUUGGAGAGGAGUUCGCGGCCGAUUAGUUAGUUGGCGGGGUAAUGGCCCACCAAGACGAUGAUCGGUAUCCGGCCUGAGAGGGCGCACGGACACACUGGAACUGAAACACGGUCCAGACUCCUACGGGAGGCAGCAGUGGGGAAUUUUGCGCAAUGGGGGAAACCCUGACGCAGCAACGCCGCGUGGAGGAUGAAAUAUCUUGGUAUGUAAACUCCUUUCGAUGGGGAAGAUUAUGACGGUACCCAUAGAAGAAGCCCCGGCUAACUUCGUGCCAGCAGCCGCGGUAAUACGAGGGGGGCAAGCGUUGUUCGGAUUUAUUGGGCGUAAAGGGUGCGUAGGCGGUUUGGCAAGUCUUAUGUGAAAUCUAUGGGCUCAACCCAUAGUCUGCAUAAGAAACUGCCGGGCUUGAGUAUGGGAGAGGUGAGUGGAAUUUCCGGUGUAGCGGUGAAAUGCGUAGAUAUCGGAAGGAACACCUGUGGCGAAAGCGGCUCACUGGACCAUAACUGACGCUGAUGCACGAAAGCUAGGGGAGCAAACAGGAUUAGAUACCCUAGUAGUCC
rnacentral:rRNA from 1 species